UACGUAGGGUGCAAGCGUUAAUCGGAAUUACUGGGCGUAAAGCGUGCGCAGGCGGUGAUGUAAGACAGUUGUGAAAUCCCCGGGCUCAACCUGGGAACUGCAUCUGUGACUGCAUUGCUGGAGUGCGGCAGAGGGGGAUGGAAUUCCGCGUGUAGCAGUGAAAUGCGUAGAUAUGCGGAGGAACACCGAUGGCGAAGGCAAUCCCCUGGGCCUGCACUGACGCUCAUGCACGAAAGCGUGGGGAGCAAACAGGA
rnacentral:rRNA from 1 species